AGGACGAACGCUGGCGGCGCGCCUAAAACAUGCAAGUCGAACGUGAAGCCCGGAGCUUGCUCCGGGUGGAAAGUGGCGAACGGGUGAGGAACACGUGAGGAACCUGCCCCAGAGACCGGGAUAACACCGGGAAACCGGUGCUAAUACCGGAUGCCCUCAUCGGACCGCAUGAUCCGAUGAGGAAAUGGAUUCCGCUCUGGGAUGGUCUCGCGGCCUAUCAGCUUGUUGGUGAGGUAACGGCUCACCAAGGCUUCGACGGGUAGCUGGUCUGAGAGGAUGUCCAGCCACACUGGGACUGAGACACGGCCCAGACUCCUACGGGAGGCAGCAGUUAGGAAUCUUGCGCAAUGGGACGAAAGCCUGACGCAGCGACGCCGCGUGCGGGAUGAAUGCCGUUUCGGGUUGUAAACCCGCUUUCGAGCGAGGACGACAUUGGACGUACUGCAGAAGAACGACCCCGGCCAACGUACGUGCCAGCCAGCCCGACGGUAACUCGU
rnacentral:rRNA from 1 species